rnacentral:rRNA from 1 species
AGCGGCGGACGGGUGAGUAACGCGUGGGUAACCGUGCCUCAUACAGGGGGAUAAAAGUUGGAAACGACUGCUAAUACCGCAUAAGCGCACAGUACCGCAUGGUACCGUGUGAAAAACUCCGGUGGUAUGAGAUGGACCCGCGUCUGAUUAGCUAGUUGGUGGGGUAACGGCCUACCAAGGCGACGAUCAGUAGCCGACCUGAGAGGGUGACCGGCCACAUUGGGACUGAGACACGGCCCAA